AUUGAACGCUGGCGGCAUGCUUUACACAUGCAAGUCGAACGGUAACAGGCCGCAAGGUGCUGACGAGUGGCGCACGGGUGCGUAAUGCAUCGGAACGUGCCCAGUCGUGGGGGAUAACUACUCGAAAGAGUAGCUAAUACCGCAUACGAUCUAUGGAUGAAAGCGGGGGACCGUAAGGCCUCGCGCGAUUGGAGCGGCCGAUGUCAGAUUAGGUAGUUGGUGGGGUAAAGGCUCACCAAGCCAACGAUCUGUAGCUGGUCUGAGAGGACGACCAGCCACACUGGGACUGGGACACGGCCCAGAAUCCUACGGGAGGCAGCAGUGGGGAAUUUUGGACAAGGGGCGCAAGCCUGAUCCAGCAAUGCCGCGUGCAGGAAGAAGGCCUUCGGGUUGUAAACUGCUUUUGUACGGAACGAAACGGCUCUGGUUAAUACCCGGGGCUAAUGACGGUACCGUAAGAAUAAGCACCGGCUAACUACGG
rnacentral:rRNA from 1 species